rnacentral:pre_miRNA from 1 species
UUAACUCAAAUUUGUAUGGAAGGAAUGUUUGCCUAAUUUUGCCGCUAGAGGCGCUGUUUCAACUGCAUACAAAUUUGUGUUA